rnacentral:rRNA from 1 species
UACGUAGGGGGCAAGCGUUGUCCGGAUUUAUUGGGCGUAAAGAGCGUGUAGGCGGCCAGGUAGGUCUGCUGUGAAAACUCGAGGCUUAACCUCGAGCUGUCGGCGGAAACCAUCUGGCUAGAGUCCGGAAGAGGAGAAUGGAAUUCCCGGUGUAGCGGUGAAAUGCGUAGAUAUCUGGAGGAACACCGGUGGCGAAGGCGGCGUCCUGGACCAACACUGACACUGAGGAGCGAAAGCCAGGGGAGCAAACGGG